rnacentral:rRNA from 1 species
CCUACGGGAGGCAGCAGUGGGGAAUCUUGCACAAUGGAGGAAACUCUGAUGCAGCGAUGCCGCGUGAGUGAAGAAGGCCUUCGGGUUGUAAAGCUCUUUCGUCGGGGAAGAAAAUGACUGUACCCGAAUAAGAAGGUCCGGCUAGCUUCGUGCCAGCAGCCGCGGUAAU